AUUGAACGCUGGCGGCAUGCCUUACACAUGCAAGUCGAACGGCAGCACGGGUUCUUGCACCUGGUGGCGAGUGGCGAACGGGUGAGUAAUACAUCGGAACAUGUCCUGUAGUGGGGGAUAGCCCGGCGAAAGCCGGAUUAAUACCGCAUACGAUCUACGGAUGAAAGCGGGGGACCUUCGGGCCUCGCGCUAUGGGGUUGGCCGAUGGCUGAUUAGCUAGUUGGUGGGGUAAAGGCCUACCAAGGCGACGAUCAGUAGCUGGUCUGAGAGGACGACCAGCCACACUGGGACUGAGACACGGCCCAGACUCCUACGGGAGGCAGCAGUGGGGAAUUUUGGACAAUGGGCGAAAGCCUGAUCCAGCAAUGCCGCGUGUGUGAAGAAGGCCUUCGGGUUGUAAAGCACUUUUGUCCGGAAAGAAAUCCUUGGCUCUAAUACAGUCGGGGGAUGACGGUACCGGAAGAAUAAGCACCGGCUAACUACGUG
rnacentral:rRNA from 1 species